UAUAUCCAGCCCUGCGCUUGAGGUUGCCUUGUGGGGUACCCUCAAGACAACUUUCUGGGGAGUUGGUGGCACAGAACCUUCCACUGGGAUUUCUGGAGUUCUCCCUGAGACUCCAAAGCCUGAGUCGCGCCUCUGGCAGGCAGGGAAAGAAGCCCGUGGCAAUUGUGUAGUUAGUUGAGCGGUCAUCAGGAUAGUUCCUGCUUUGCUAAGUCCACAGGGCACGUUGGGUCCCACCAGGCCAGCACCUGCUGUCUCUGCCCUUGGUGCUUAGUGGGUGUUCCUGAAUGAACAACUUAGUCUCUGAGACUCAGUCUCCUCCAUUAUAAAAGGAAGGAAGCCAACCUACCUCAUAUUUAAAAUAAAAACGACAGUGCCAGUAGGCUGCCUUGGCACUCAGAUUCUGCACUCCUGAAUGGCAAGGCAAGAACUGAAGUUAAAGAUUUCCAGGGCGGAGCCUCAGGCCCUAACCAGCCAUCCCUUGUAUUCCUAAUGUCUUCUCCCCACCCACACCCCCGACAGGGUUUCUCUGUAACUUUGGAGUCUGUCCUGAAACUCGCUCUGUACACCAGGCUGGCCUCGGACUCACAGAGAUCCACCUGCCUCUGCCUCCCGAGUGCUGGGACUAAAGGCCACCACCACCUGGCUCCCUGAUGUCUUUACAGAGCAAGGGGCUAAAUUUCUUUUUCUUCAAGAAAAUCUCAUGUAGAACCGCCAUCCCCUAGAUGGUAGUACCAUGUGCCCACCCCGCUGCUAUGCAAAGUGAGGCCUGUAAGGACAGGAUGAGUUUGGAAGACCUCAGUUUCCCAUAGACACAAGAGGAAGGGGGAGAUUUUGGAUUAGGUGUCCCUAAAACUAGAUUCCCCCCGCAUCUGCCCUAGAUGUUGGGGGAGUAUGUGGCUUCUCCCUCCUAAAGCAGCCUGAGUUAAGAAAAAAAUGGGAUCCAAAAUAUAUUUUGGGUAUAAGAUAGUGGCUGACUGAAUCAGUUGUGGUCUAGGGACCAGAUUUCAUAUAUCUGGGGUCUAUAACUCCUGAAACCUGGCUUUUACCCUUUCACCUUUCAUUCUACCUAGUCAAUUCAAUGCUUUUACUUGCCUCAGGCCACCCACAGAGGAUCUGGGGAUCCCAGGCAGGACCUGAGAGGCUCUGGAGCCCCUGGCAGGAGGAUGUGUUGAAGGCAGUGGUUUCUCCUGGCUUCUGUCCCAUCUCACCAAGUGGGGGCUGAUUCCAAUGCAGGUCAUGACUACUCCUGGGGAUUUGAUUCCCCCACACUGCUUGCACGCCAGGCAAGGUGCCAAGGCCUUCCUGAGCAAAGCUGAAUAGGCCGACAGGCCCUGCCCUCUGGCUGCUCUCAUUGUUCUAACUGUGAGUUUCAUUUUCAAAUUCUCCAGCACUUAGGCUUUUAAGAAACCAAAGCCUGGCUUCAGCUUGUAUCAGAACUGCAGAAAGGUGGGAGGCACUCUCAAUAGACCCAAAGUUUCCUGGAAAAAAAAAAAUGGAGACUAUAGAUGUGUUUCUUGGAGAGUAAGUAUUGAGGGCAUCCCCAGCUUCUAGAGCCAAUUCAUGAAGAAAAGGGACACCCACUUCCUCAUACUCCUGCCACCAUUUCUCCCUUCUUCCUAUGUUUUACUUUGUCUCAAGGGGACAAGGGAAAAGAAACAAAAUAGAACAAAUCUCAUUAACAAAAGAAUGCAGAGACACGGGGCCCAGCUUCUGGCUCCUUUCCUGAGGUAACCUCCUCCGUACUUUUUCAGCUCUUAGAAUACUGUGCAGGUAACCACUACAUGGAAACUUGCCCCAUUCUCUAGCCAGGUCUUUCAGUCCCUGGUGCCCUAUCAUGUGCCUUUGUAGUAUCACAUGGAAGGAAGACACUCACUGGAAUUGUGACCAGCAGACAGAUAUUAAUACUCUUGUGCUGUGUGGCCAUGAACAAAUCAUUUCACCUCUCUGCGUGCCGGACCCCAGCCCUUAAUGUUACCUCACUUAGAAUUGUGGGGAAUCUAAAGAUAGCUGCAUAAGAAAUCCAUGCAGUACCAGGCAAUUAACUCUGGAACCCCACAAGGCAGAGUGGUGCACACCUGUAAUCCCAGUAGUCAGGAGGCUAAAAUCAGAGAACCACUGUAAAUGUGAGGACAGUACAACAGCUGAGCAGGUAAAAAUCGGGCAAAUUCAUUUACUGCCCAAAGUCCUACAAUUCAGAACCCCAUAGGGGUAGUUAUUUUUAUUUUGAGACAGUGUCUCACUGUGUAGCCCAGGCUGGCCUCAAGUCAUGGUUCUCCUCCUGCCUCAGCCUCUGGAGUGUUGGGAUCACAGCUCUGACACUACUACACCCAGCUUGCCCCAACCUUUUGUAUCCCUACUUGUCUCAAAUGUAUACAGCAUGAUUUCCCUUCUCCGCUUUCGGAGUGGUCUUUUAAGGAAAACAGAGUAAAUAAGCUGUUUCCCCCCAUUUCUCCUAACUCAAUCUACUUCAAAAUACUUAUUGAUAGAAUCACUGUGUAUCAAUUCCAGAGGCAAAAUUAAUCCUUUCUUUCCUCCUCUGGCUCAGAGAUGGCUUUUGGAAACCCUGUGUCACUCCUUUUAUUACAAACUCCUCAGCUGUCCUCCAGGAACCUGGGCCACUCUGGGAUUACAAAUGGAGCCUUCUGCCUCUAGGUCACUGAUUCUGCCACCAUCUGUCAGCAUGGAUUGAUUGAGGAGACUGGCCCUGCUCGGCAGAUCAGUGACUUGUGAGAACUGAGCCAGAGUGUCUGCCUUCAGCUGCAGGCUAGUAUCCUUCCCAGCACUGGCUGACUUUCUCAAGCACCCAAUCAGCCCUCACCUUUAUCUUUCAACAGGCCCCUACUCUCCUUCCUCUUGGGAGGGGCCACCUGCUAGCAACUCUAAACACCAAGAGGGAAGCCUAAAACCCUUGUUCAUAAGCCUGGGGCUUCACCUCUAGACUUCCAGGAGAAAGCUUACAAACAGCCAGUGGUUGACAGAAGAGGAAACUACCCCCAACAUCAUGCCAUGCCUGUCCUAAGCCAGUCAACAUUCCCAGGCAAAGGGUGAAGAUACUGACCAUGGACAGACACACAGGCACAGCUUGACGCUUUGGGCAUACCCUCACAGGAGCACCUGCGAUCUCUGAGGCAGUAAGCCAUGACCAGUUCUUUCUCAGGCAAGGUGAAGGAAAGCUAUGAAACUUGGGGUGGGGACGGAAGGAGGAGGAGAUGCUGCUGCUGCUGCUGCGCACAAGAGACCUCUGCCCAGAGCAGUAGAAAGAGAGGAGACUGGGCUGGGAGCUCUGUGGGGCCUUGUAUAUCUUGUGAAGAGUUUGACAGGACUGGUACAGUCUCAUAGUGGCCUCUGCUCACCAGCUUGCCCCUCCACUCUGCCCUCCAAGAUCAAAGUCAUGGUUCCCAUUGGUCCCACUGGGCUGUUUGUAUGUCUGUAUUUGUCACUGGACAUUUCCACGUCCCUUUGGUGCCUGGCACCCUAUGCAAGAAAAGGUAACAUGUCCACAAAAGUUACAUAUCAAUUAUUAUGAGACAGCCUAGAAGAGAAUACCAGACACUGGCAGAGUUUAUUUUACACCCUAAUUAAUGUUUGAAACAACCCGAUAAGGUUGAUAUUGAUGUCAUACUCCACUUUACAAAUGCAGCCUCUGAGAUGCAGGGGAAUUUCAGUAACUUGUCCUAAGUGGUUCAGCUUGAAAGCUGAAUUUGGUCCUAGGCCCCCAGAGACUACCUCUAACUAUCCAGCUUCCUAGCAUUCAGUGACUACUGGGAAGAGGGGCAGAGAGCUAGCUAGGUCCAGUCUCCAAGUGACCAGGGAAAGACACCAUAAAGAACAGAGGACUCAGCAGCAGUUUCAAACCACAGGUAUGCUAAGGCCUUGGAGACAGUCUGGGGAACUCAGACUGUCUAGCAGUAUUCAUUUUCCCACAGAUGAACAAGCAGGACCCUAAAACCAGGUGGUAGGGGGCAUUAGCUUUCCACCCAACUUGAAAUUCUCAGUGCCUGUGGGCUGGACUCUUCCUGAACAGCCACUGGCAUGGCAAUACCAACCCAAGUCACAAAUCUGAGGACCAGUCUGGUUUCACAGUGUGUAUUCUUCAACAAAUCAUCUAAUGACUUAGAGUCUCAACUUCUUUAUCUAUAAAUUGUUCUUCCUGCCUCCUGGGAAUGGGGGUCCCUUUCCUGGGUGACGCUGUGCACUCCUCACUACAAGUCUGUGAGGAAUCAAUGACCACCUUCAUGAUACUGAGCAGAAAAUAAGCACACAAAGAGGGGAGUGACUAGUUCCAAGUCAGGCAGAAAGCAGAAUUGGGACUGGUACCCAGCCUUCUGGCUUCAGAGCUUCACUAAGUCACUCAGAGUGCUACAGAGUUAAAGAUAAAUGAUCUGAUUACAGUACUAACUGAGGCACAGUCUAAGCAUUAACUCACUUAAUCCUCACAGCAAACCUGUUAAGUGGAUAGUGUCUUCCUUUUGCAGGUAAGGAAACCGAGGCACAGCAGUUAGGCAGGGUCUGAGCUAAAACACAGACCCAGGCGAGUAGGGCUGCCAAGCCCCUGCAUCGCUUCAUCAUGCACUAACAAUGGGAGGUUCCUUUCCAUUGGGAUUAUUUCUGCUUGAAAGCUCAAGACUUUUAGCCACAUCAUUGUCUGGGCGCCACAGGAAGGCAGUGCCACAUGCUGAGGCAUGCUGGGAAAAGACUUUGUUCCAUCCUGUUUUGUUGACAUGCUCUUCAUUUUUAAGCCUGAAACCCAAGUUUCCUGCUAAGAAUGCAAACGGUGGAGAAAAAUGCAGCCAUGAUGAAGGCCACUGCUUCCUGAACCACACUGUUUCUUGGGCUUUCGAGUCUGUCAUUUAACUCAACCUUCACAAGGCUUCAUCCCAGUUGAUUGCUAAAAAGGCCCAAAGUCACUAGAAGGAUGCUCAAAGGUGCACAGCCACUUUGUCAAAGGUGGACAAAGGAGCUGCCCUCAAGUCCUUCCCCUCAAACUCUCACUCUUGACCACAUGUCUGCCUUGUAAAAGGAUGCUAGGGCUUUGGCAUUGAGCAUAAUGGCGGCAAUGUUCCUGCUCAUAUUCCACCCUGGGCUUGUCUCACCACGUUGCUCUAGGAUCCAGGUGUAGGGGUGGAGAGCUAGGAGCUCCCUUCUCAACGAGGAUGGCUCACGUCCCUUCUCAUGACUUGGUAAUGGCUGCCCUGCCACCAAGCCACUUGUCUUCCAGAAAAAGAGACAUCAUGUGACAAGCCUCAUUGCUUGCUACCCUGCUUCUACCUCCCUGAUAGCUCUCAAGGACAACUGCCAGAGCACAUGUGUAAUGCCUUGGGAACAGAAAGCAGUAGGAGCCGUGAAUUCUCCAACUCACAGUCCUUGACUCCAGCUUUUUUUUUUUUUUUGUGAUGUGUACUCUCAUCCCUACCGCCAACUUACUAUAGUCCCAUGAGCACUUUUCCCUGGCUUGACAGUACACAUUGCCAACCUCCACUCCCUUGUUUCAUUGUGUCUGCCAAACCAAACAAGUGUGUCCCUGUCCUCUGCUGGCCUAUUCCCAGAGGCAGGGGUGCCUGCACCUCUUACUUUGCACAGACUGAAAUUAUACCUUGGUUUUUUGGGUCUGAGUCAAAUGCUGCCUCCUUCACAAAGCUCUACUUUAUUCAUUCAUUCAUUCAUUCAUUCAUUCAUUCACUCAACACUGAUUGAGUCUUUAUCAUGUGCCAAGCAUUGAAUAAAGGGUUCUUGUUGUCCUAC